AUGCGGGCGGCCAACCUUCGCGAUAUUGAGAUCACUACUGGUAUGUCAGUCAACACUUCCAAUUCUAUCUUGCAUUUCUCUAAUGAUGAGAUUAUUCAUAACGCAAAUCAGUUGGGAGUGUCUCUGGGUAGUAACGACUUUGAAGUUUCUAAGUCCGUUAAUGAUCUUUUGGAUCUCGAAGCGGAGCGCGCUUUAGAUAUGAUUAGAAACCUAGCGGUUGUUAAACCCAUGAACAAUUCUGAUGUACAUGCUUUGGGGGUCAAUGUGCUUGAUAGCUUAUGUGCGGAUAUGGCACCUUCUCUUCCUGAUAACGAGGAGGAGGAAUAUGUUAAUUCCCCAAGGGAUUCCAGUAUGGUUGCUUCCCAGGUGGUGAAGGAAAUAUGCCCUAGAGGCAAUAAUAAAGUGAUUAUUUAUAUUUCCUUAUAUCAUGAUAAAUGUUUAUUAUUCAUGCUAGAAUUGUAUUAA
rnacentral:rRNA from 1 species